rnacentral:rRNA from 1 species
AAUUUUGGACAAUGGGGGAAACCCUGACCCAGCCAUCCUGCGCGGAUGAUGAAGGCCUCCGGGUUGUAAAGGACUUUUGGCAGAGAAGAAAAGGUAUCUCCUAAUACGAGACACUGCUGACGGUAUCUGCAGAUUAAGCACCGGCUAACUACGUGCCAGCAGCCGCGGUAAUAUGUAGGGUGCAAGCGUUAAUAGGAAUUACUGGGCGUAACGCAAGUGUAGGCGGUUCGGAAUGAAAGAUGGGAAAUCCCAGGGCUCAACCUUGGAACUGCAUGUUAACUGCAGAGCUAGAGUAUGUCAGAGGGGAAUAGAAUUCCACGUGUAGCAGUGAGAUGCGUAGAUAAGUGAAGGAAUACCGAUGGCGAAGGCAGCCCCCUGGGAUAAUACUGACGCUCAGACACGAAAGCGUAGGGAGCAAACA